AAUUUUGAAACUCAAAGAAAAGAUAGAGAAAACAAAAGUUAGAAUGGUGAAUAAUGUAGUGAUUUUCCCUCAUCUUAAGUAGUCAGUAAAAAAUUCAAAAAAGGGGAAAAAUAUAAAUUGGUAACAUUUAGGAAGAUUUGCAAAAUUACCCUUUUUUUACUACCUUUUUCCAACAAUAUCCUUUUAAGUUAUCCAUUUUUAAAAAUACCCAUUUCUUUGAACAAAAUGACCAAAUUACCCUCAUCUAAUAGAAACAUGUAAUUGGAAACUGAAUUUUUCCCGCCAAUUUUUUGGCGCCAAAAAAAAAGUAUCCGCCAAACUUUUUUCCCGCCAAAAAAAAAUAAUUUCCCGCCAAAAAAAAAAUUUCCCGCCAAAUUUUUUUUUCGUAACAUUUUUUUCCUCAGCCAAAAGAAUGAUUUUAAAAAUCCUUGUAAAUAUUUUUUGACGGCAAAUAGAUUUACAAGGGAUUUUAAACGAAUUUUAAAAGAUUUACAAGAGAUUUUAAAAAGGUUUUAAAAGAUUUACAAGAGAUUUUAAAAGAGUUUUAAAAGAUUUACAAGAGAUUUUAAAAGAGUUUUAAAAGAUUUACAAGGGAUUUUAAAAGGGUUUUAAAAAAUUUACAAGUAAUUUAAAAAGGUG
rnacentral:sRNA from 1 species